GGUUUUGGUCCGUAGUAUUUAAAAUUUGUCGUCCUAUUCAAACAUGGGUCACGAGAUUGAAGCAAUUGUUUAGGUAUUAUUAUUUUCACUUCCCCAUCGGAUUAUUUCUCAUCACGCUCUUUUACAAAGACAGAAUCCCUACACCUUUCUUCCAUUGCCUUGCUGUCCUCUACAUUGCUGCAGCAUCGUCACUCAUUCUCCGUUGUGUUAUCACUCAUCAAUCACUUCCCUGGACUUCCGUUUUGCUGGUUGCAGUCGCCAUCGCCAUAUCUGUCGCCUUCACAGGAACAGGUGGGUUCACUGUCCCUGGUGUAUAUCCACAAUGUGUUAAAUUUUGUGAUUUGUAACUAUUAAUUAGUUAUUAUUAAUAUUUUUAUUAGUGUGAAAUUUUAUUCAAUAAUAUAGAAUUAUUUACUUUUUUUUAGCUAGUUAAG